rnacentral:rRNA from 1 species
AAAACUUUACAAUGCUGGCAACAGCGAUAAGGGAACCUCGAGUGCCAGGUUACAAAUCUGGCUGUCGAGAUGCCUAAAAAGCAUUUCAUAGCAAGGGCCGGGCAAGACCGGUGCCAGCCGCCGCGGUAACGCCGGCGGCUCGAGUGGUAACCGUUAUUAUUGGGUCUAAAGGGUCUGUAGCCGGCCGGAUAAGUCUCUUGAGAAAUCUGGCAGCUUAACUGUCAGGCUUUCAGGAGAUACUGUCUGGCUCGAGGCCGGGAGAGGUGAGAGGUACUUCAGGGGUAGGGGUGAAAUCUUGUAAUCCUUGAAGGACCACCAGUGGCGAAGGCGUCUCACCAGAACGGACCUGACGGCAAGGGACGAAAGCUAGGGGCACGAACCGGAUUAGAUACCCGGGUAGUCCUAGCCGUAAACGAUACUCGCUAGGUGUCGGCCACGGUGCGACCGUUGUCGGUGCCGUAGGGAAGCCGUGAAGCGAGCCACCUGGGAAGUACGGCCGCAAGGCUGAAACUUAAAGGAAUUGGCGGGGGAGCAC